ensembl:lncRNA
UCUCUCUCUCUCUCUCUCUCUCUCUCUCUCUCUCUCUCUCUCUCUCUCUCAUAUGGCCUGGGCAGCUGGUCAUGUUUGUGUUUCAACUUGUGACCAAAGACCCAGAGGUAGAAGCUCGUUCCUCCACUGUGUUAUAAAUCCUUUUUUUUUUUUUUAUCGGCUGCUGUUUUUUCGUCCAUCCCUCUGCUCCCUCUCCUCUGAGAGCUGGCAGGUCCUGUGACCUCCUCCUCUCCCCCUCUCCUCUCCAUCCCCUCCUCCUGCUCCUCCUCUCCUCGUCACAUCUUUGAACUCUCCAUCGCUGCUCCGGUGGCCGGGACCAGAGACCCCCUGCCUGCAGCCCCACCAAUCUCCACUCUGGGCAAGGCUAAUUUGACCCGGUUAACAGAUACUGGGGAGAUCAGCAGUGGGCAGCUGUCUGUCAAGUGUCCAGCCUGCAUGACGGCUCCUAUAACACACUGUAGGUUGCUGUGUAGGGGGUCGGGUUUCCCCAGCCUGAACACACACAUCCAUGGACCUCCAUGCAGCUGUAGCUGUCCUAUUGCAUACCCAGCCAUCAUAUCCGCCCAGCCAGCCCCUGCAAUGUGUGUCCUUAAACAGCUGUUCAACUGUUCCAUAGAGCACAGGGGG